rnacentral:rRNA from 1 species
AACGAACGCUGGCGGCAUGCCUAACACAUGCAAGUCGAACGAGAUCUUCGGGUCUAGUGGCGCACGGGUGCGUAACGCGUGGGAAUCUGCCCUUUGGUUCGGAAUAACAGUUGGAAACGACUGCUAAUACCGGAUGAUGACGAAAGUCCAAAGAUUUAUCGCCAGAGGAUGAGCCCGCGUAGGAUUAGCUAGUUGGUGUGGUAAAGGCGCACCAAGGCGACGAUCCUUAGCUGGUCUGAGAGGAUGAUCAGCCACACUGGGACUGAGACACGGACCAGACUACUACGGGAGGAAGCAGUGGGGAAUAUUGGACAAUGGGCGAAAGCCUGAUCCAGCAAUGCCGCGUGAGUGAUGAAGGCCUUAGGGUUGUAAAGCUCUUUUACCCGGGAUGAUAAUGACAGUACCGGGAGAAUAAGCUCCGGCUAACUCCGUGCCAGCCGCCGCGGUAA